GACGAACCGUGCGACCGUUAUUCGGAAUCACUGGGCUUAAAGCGCGUGUAGGCGGGCCGGCACGUCGGUCGUUGAAAUCCCCCGGCUCAACCGGGGAAGCGGCGCCGAUACGACCGGCCUCGAGGGACGUAGGGGGGGCUGGAACUUCCGGUGGAGCGGUGAAAUGCGCAGAUAUCAGGAGGAACACCUAUUGCGAAGGCAGCUCGCUGGGACGUAACUGACGCUGAGACGCGAAAGCGUGGGGAGCAAACAGG
rnacentral:rRNA from 1 species